CCUACGGGUGGCAGCAGUGAGGAAUAUUGGUCAAUGGGCGCAAGCCUGAACCAGCCAAGCCGCGUGAGGGAUGACGGUCCUAUGGAUUGUAAACCUCUUUUGUCGGGGAGCAAGGCCCGCCACGUGUGGCGGGAAGGAGAGUACCCGAAGAAAAAGCAUCGGCUAACUCCGUGCCAGCAGCCGCGGUAAUACGGAGGAUGCGAGCGUUAUCCGGAUUUAUUGGGUGUAAAGGGUGGGUAGGCGGAAGUUUAAGUCAGCGGUGAAAUUUCGGGGCUCAACACCGGACUGGCGUUGAAACUGGUCGUCUUGAGUGAGCGAGAAGGAUGCGGAAUGCGUGGUGUAGCGGUGAAAUGCAUA
rnacentral:rRNA from 1 species